rnacentral:lncRNA from 1 species
AAAGACCUCUCCAGCGUCGUUGGGAGGUUCGGUUCCGCCCCAGAUUCGGGACUUUGGGGACAAAGAAAGCGCUAAAUGAAUAAAGAUGCUGACGAGCGCCUCGCAUUAGCCUCGGCGUCCCCAGCCCUUUGCGCGGCCCGAGAGCUGAAGGGACCCGGGAGGCUGGGAGCCCUUCCGAGACCCCUGGGCUCCCCGGCCCGGCCCGGCCCUAACUGCCGGGCGCUCCCUUCAGCUCCCCGCGCUCCGGGAGGGAGGGGGCUCCGCCAGCCACGGCCGCUUCCUGGGCUGCGCUGGGGCCUGGGGGAUUCACGCGGGAAUCGUCUUAGAGUUGGAACUUCUUCCCCAGGGCAGGGCCCCAUCAUCUUCUUCCAGCUCCUCACCCAAGGCUCUGAGACGAUGGACAAAAUGACCCGUCUGGGGCCAACAUGGGAAUGCUGCCUUCUCACCAGAGCCGGCCCUGAUGUUUAACUGGUGACAUGCUCGUCCUCCUUGGGCACCAAGCAAACAGCUGAGAUUAGCACCCGGCUAAUGAGAAGAAACAAGCUAAAACGGGGCUCUGGAGGCUGCUGCCCAUCCCAUCCUGUCCCCUCUCUGCCCAGGGAGGUCUUGUCCUGUUUCCCUCCAAGAGAAUUGUCCCAGGCCCCAAAAUGGCUAGAUCAUAGCUCUGGUUUCCAUAGAUUCAGUUCAUCACAUUAAGUAUGGACCAGAAACCGAGACUUCCUUGAGCCCAGAGCCUGACACUUUCAGAACCAGUGGGCAAAACCAGUGGGAAUGAGAAAGAUGAAUUUGAAUUCUCCCCAAAGAAACAGCCAUAGAGCUGUUCUACUCAGCCACUGAGCAGUUAGUGAAUGCCUACUGCUCCUAAGACACUUGUCAUAGAGUUUGGGGAAAAGGGAAA